UUGGUCUUAGCUAAGUGGUUAGAAUAACAGAAUCGAAAUCUGUUUCUCUUGAUUGUGCAAGUUCGAAACUUGCCUAUUGAU